rnacentral:lncRNA from 1 species
CCUUACUAUAUUUAGAAUAGUGGUCGAUCCUUCGGGAGUUACAUUCGUAACUUAAUGUAAUGUUAUGUUCACGCGGUGAUAUUCUAUCUUUCCAAGAGUACUACCCUGUACGUAGUCUAUGUCUGGGGAGCAUACUUGACAGGAGAUAGACACAGGCGGUAGAGGGGUCCCCCACUUCGAUUCCCGCCCCGUUAGCAUCUACGAUCCUAGAUAAGGGAUUAGUCCGUUAGGUCUUUUCGGUCCGGAGCCGGCUGGUAAUGGACCUACUUACCUUGCUUGUAGACCUGCUGCGGAGCUAACCCUUGUUCUAUUGGUUUGGUGGUUGAGCGGGUGGCUGAGCGUUAUCGCGAGCUAAUUUUGCCACUGAAUAUUCCAUUUUCGUUAGAGAAAUCGUUAGUAUCGUCAGUUGGUGCUUUGGAGUUUGCUAAGCAGUUCUUCGUACGCGGAGUGACUAAGGGCUUUUUUCCUGUCUCCUCUCACAUGUUAAGAUCCUUAGUUAGUUCCAUAUCCCUUGUUCCUGUAAUGAGGGCUAUUAUGUCUAAGGAUCUUCCAUUGUCGUAUCGUUUACGGGAAGCUGGGUACCGAGUGUAUACUCGACGCACGGCGCCUCCUAGGAGACACUGGAAUCGGCAUUUCCUGAGGCGAGCUUUCAGAAGCUCAAGACAACUUUGACUGUGGUGCUAGUGAUUGUUUUUCCUACAGGUUCAGGGCCAUAUAUAGUAUAUUGUGAUGCAUCUCGUAUUGGACUUGGUGAGGUGUUGACGCAGAAUGGUGAGGUUAUUGCAUAUUUUUCGUGAUAGUUGAAGAUUCACGAGAAGAAUUAUCCAGUUCAUGAUUUGGAGCUAGCAGCCAUUGUUCACGCGCUGAAGAAUUGGAGGCACUAUUUAUAUGGCGUGUCGUGUGAGCUUUUCACGGAUCACAAGAGUCUACAAUAUGUGUUCAAACAGAAGAAACUAAACUUGAGGAAGAGGAGGUGGUUGGAGCUGAUGAAAGACUAUGAUAUCACCAUCUUGUGUCAUCCGGGGAAGUCCAAUGUAGUGGCUGAUGCUUUGAGUAGGAAGUCAGCAAGUAUGGGCAGCGAUGCGUAUAUUCCACUCACUGAGUGACCGCUUGCUUUGGAAGUUCAGGCUUUAGCCAAUCAGUUCGUGAGAUUGGAUGUUUCUGAGCCCAGCCGUGUUUUAGCUUGUAUAGUCACUUGGUCUUCAUUAUUUGGGCAUAUCAGGGAUCGAUAUUAUGACGAUAUUCACUAGCUAGUCUUUAGAGACACAGUGCGGCACGGUAGUGCCCAGCAGGUUACAGUUGGAGAUGAUGGAGUUUUGAGGAUGUAGGGUCGAGUUUGUGUGCCUAAUAUGGAUGGACCUCGUGAGUUGAUUCUAGAAGAGGCCCACAGUGCCUGAUAUUCUAUUCAUCUGGGAACUGCGAAGACGUAUCAGGAUUUGCGGCAGCAUUAUUGGUGGAGGAGGAUGAACAAAGAUGUUGUUGCAUAUGUAGCUCUGUGUUUGAAUCGUCAGCAGGUAAAGUACGAGUAUCAUAUACCUGGUGGUUUGCUUUAGAAGAUUGAGAAUUCUGAGUGGAAGUGGGAGCAUAUCACUAUGGAGUUCAUUGUUAGACUCCCACAGACUUAGACGAAGUCCGAUGCGAUUUGGGUUAUUGUUGAUAUGCUGACUAAGUCAGCGUAUUUCAUUCCUCUGGUGGUCUCUUAUUCUUCAAAGAAGUUAGCUGAGAUCUAUAUCCGGGAGAUUUUCAUCUUUAUGGUUUGCGCGUGUCUAUUAUUUCUAACCAAGGUACAUAGUUUGCCUCGUAUUUCUAGAGGGCAGUUCGGUGUAAGUUGGGUACACGGGUCGAGUUGACCACAACAUUUCAUCAUCAGAAGGACGGACAGUCCGAGCGUACUAUUUAGAUUUUGGAGGAUAUGCUUCGCGCCUAUGAUAUUGAUUUUGGAGGUUCUUGGGAUCAUUUCUUGCCAUUAGCGAAGUUUUCCUACAAUAAAACCUAUCAAUCAAGCAUCCAGAUGGCUCCAUAUUAGGAAUUAUAUGGUAGACGGUGUUGAUCGCCAAUUGGAUAGUUUGAGCGGGAAGAGGCUCAGUUGUCGGGUACAUAUUUAGUAUAGAUUGCCUUGGACAUGGUUAAGAUCAGUCAGGAUAGUCUUCGUACAACUCAAUCCAGGAAAAAGAUUUAUGUUGAUCAUAAGGUUCGCGAUGUGUCAUUCAUGUUUAGAGAGUGAGUGUUGCUUCGGGUGACACCCAUCAAGGGCGUGAUGAUAUUUGGGAAGAAGGGCAAGCUAAGCCAUAAAUUCAUUGAACCUUUUGAGAUUCGUGAUCGAGUGAGAGAGGUGGCUUACAGACUUGCGUUGCCUCCGAGUUUAUCAGUUGUGCGUCCAGUGUUUCAUGUGGCCAUGCUUCAGAAGUGGGACGGAGAUCCAUCCCACGUGUUAGACUUCAACACUGUAUAGUUGGACAAGUACUUGACUUAUGAGGAGAAGCCGAUAGCUAUUCUAGACUGGCAGGUUCGUUAGCUGAAAUUGAAGAAGUUCCUUUCAGUUCGUGUGCAGUGAAGAGGUCAUCCUUUUGAGGUAGCGACUUGGAAGUUCGAGUCCAACAUGCGGAUCCAAUAUCCCCAUCUUUUCACCAGCUCAUGUACUUUUCUAUGUCCGUUCGAGGACGAUUAGUUGUUUUAGAGGUGAAGAAUGUGAUGACCCAAAGGGUCUUCUUUUGUUUUAUAAUACGAAUCCUGGUUCUGAGGCCUUGAAAAUCUCAUUAUCUUCCUCCUCGAUUUCCAUGCGUAGUCCGGGCGCAUUUCCGGAAAGCUUUUAUGUGAAUUUAUAAGAAAAUUAGAAAUUUGCUUUUAAAAUUGAUUGAAGUUGACUUUGGUCAAUUUUUUGGGUAAAAAGAUCCGGAGCCAUUAUUUUGUGGUCCCGGAGGGUCCAUAGUAAAAUAUGAAACAUGGACGUAAGCCCGAAAUCGAAUUCCGAGGUCCCUAGCCCGAGAAAUUAUUUUUUAAAGAAAAUCAUUUGCUGGAAAAUAUAAGUACUUUUGGAAAUUAAAUGGUGUGUUAUCUUGAUGGUAUCAUGCUAAUAUUUAGGUUUUGGACCCCAAAACAAGUUUAAUAUAAUAUUUAAGUCAUAUCUGUGAAAUUUUGUGAGAAUUAGAGUUGAUUUUACGUGAUUCGGAUGUCGUGUUGUGAAAAUAGUAAAUUUGAAGUUUUCUUGAGGAAAAUCAUGAGUUGAGGUUAAAUUCGUAGUUGUUGAUGCUAUUUUGAUGAUUUGAUUGCACGAGCAAGUCUAUAUGGUAUUUUUAGACUUGCGUGCAUAUUUGGUUUGGAGCCCCAAGGGCUCGGGUCAGUUUUAAAUAGGCUGGAGAGUGAUUAGAACUUAGGAAAACUCAGCUAUGCAUCUAGUAUUUUGCACAGGCCUCUGAUCUCACAAAUGCGAGAUCUGGCUUCACAAAUGUGAAGUCUACCGGCCUGGGAAAUGCGACAAUAUUCUCGCAAAUACGAAGAAGACUUGGAAAGGCCAACUUCACAAAUGUGAAUUUUUGGACGAAAUUGCGAAGGCCCAGAGGUCGCAAAUUCGACAUAUAUAUCCCAAAUGUGAAGGCAGUAGAAUUCAAAGGGUUCGCAAUUUGUAAUUUCGAUAACUUCAACCUAUUAAGUGAGAUUUUAGACGGGAUUUUCACUUCAUUCUUCAAAAUUUCAAAACCUAAACUCCAAAGGGCGAUUUUCCUAGAGCAAGUGUUUCCCGAAAUCAUAGGUAAAUGAAUCUUAAAUCUAUUUCUUCAAUCUAUUUCAUCUUUUUACAUGAUUUCACUUCAAAAUCUAGGGUUUUUUCAUGGGAAAUUGGGUGUUCUUGGGUAAAAAUUAGGAUUUUCGAAUUUUGGGGAUUUGGACCUCAAUUUGAGGUCAGAUUUCAAAACCAAUUGCAUAUUUGAGUUCGUGGGUGAAUGGAUAAUUAGGUUUUGGUUCGUACUUCAAUUUUGACUAAGAGGGCCGGGGUCGAUUUUUGACUUUUUGGGAAAAAUAUUAGAAAAUCCAUAUUCAUGCAUUAGAAGUGAUUCAACUAGAAUUUAUUGAUGUUAUUAAGUAAAUUAUGACUAGAUACAAGUGAAUUGAAAGAAGAAUCGAGAGAUAAAGCAGUAAUUGAGGCUUGAUUUUGUUUAUGUAAUUGAGGUGUUGUGGUCUUAUUUGCUACGUGUUAGUGUUGAGUACAACGUAUAGGUGUGGUGAUUAGAAUCUAUAUGUUGGUGUCGAGCAUACUGGUGAGUCUUAUACCAUGAUUGUUGUGACUCUUAUUAUAUAACGUCAGCACUUAAAUUGAUGAUUAUCAAUGUUGAUCAAGACUUAUGAUAAAUUCUUGGUAAUUGACAAUUUUUGAGUAUGGGCUCAAGUUGAGAUUUAUUUUGUGAAGUAAAUAUUGGAACGAGAUUGGUUAUAACAAUUCUUUUGCAGGGAUGUAUUUGUUUCUAUUGUUGAUUUCCUAGGUGGGAUGUUUUAUUUCUAUUCUCUGGGUGAGGAAGAGUGUAAAGCACGAAGGGUGAUGUCGUGCAUGAUAUUGUAAGUGAGUGUUAAUGCACAGAAGGUGAUGUCGUUCCGAUAUUGUGAGUGUUAAUGCACGAAAGGUGAUGUCGUAUCAUGAUUUGAGAGUUAACGCACGAAAGGUGAUGUUGUGCCAUUUCUAUUAGUUUUUAUGGUGAGAACGACAGUAAAAGCACAAAGGGAAAUACCGUGCACGUGUUACUGUUUCAUUAUUCUUGUUGAUACAAAUAUGGUGUUCAUUAUGAUUCUCUAUUGAAUUACUGUUAGAAUUUGAUAUUCCCCGCAGCAUGUUCCCAUUCCCAUCUUUAUCUGUUAUUUGCUGUUAUUAUUGUUCUAUUCGUAUAUGAUUUAACUGCACAAGUUUAUAUGGCUGUCGUAUCCUAGCCUCCUCACUACUUCGCCGAGGUUAGGCUCGACACUUACCAGUACAUGGGGUCAGUUUUACUGAUACUGCACUCUGUACUCUUUGCGCAGAUUUUGGUGUCGGACCUUGUGAGUAGCUUAGAGGUUGUUGCCUUCAGUCCAAAGAGACCAAGAUAGAUCUCCUAGCGUUCGCAGAGCCUGAAGUCACAUUUCCGCGCUUUAGUGUCUUAUGUCUCUUCUAUUUCGAGAACAGUUGUACUUCUUUUAGACUUAUAUUUGUAGUAAAUCUUAGUUGUGGCACUGUUAUAUUAUUUUCACAUUUCUUAAUUAUCUUAUUUUGAUGAAUACCUAUUCCUGUGUGAACUAAUGGUAAUGAUAGUAAAAUUGUAAUUGUCGGUUAACCUAGCUUUCACGAGUAGGUGUCAUCACGGUUCCUGAAGGUGAGAAAUCUGGGUCGUAACAUUAGUAGGUUCUUUUUAGAUUUGAAGGUCUAACUGAAAGUUAAGUUGAAGAGGUAUGAUGGUGCUAAUGGUAGGAUGCUUGGAGUUAGCACCAACUUCUUUCGUUUUGUUCUUUUUAGGGCCACCACUGUGGAAAAUGCUAAAGUUUUCGAAAAUAGCAAUAGCAGAAGAAAUACUAAUAAGAAAUUUGGAUAGUGAGAUUUUGCUUAGAAAUAGGGAGUUUUGCAGUAGGGUUUUAAGGAAGUUCGAAAAAAUAAAGAGUUUGUAAAAGUAAAGAAUAAAAAGUGAUGAAUAGUGGAGAAGUUUAUAGAUGGCAAAAUUCAUGAUCAUGAUUUCCUUGAAAACUUGCAAAAAUAUUUACCUAAUCAUGGGGUCACAUUUUCGGGUCAAUAAAUACAAAGAGACAUGCAUCCUUUCAAGUGACAGAAACCGUUUAGGAACUUCUCUGCCAAGAAAAUGGUCUUAUCUACUACUCAGUAACACAAAGUUUUGUUAUCCGAAAGUAAGGGGACUAUCUGUAUGGGAUAAAAUGGGUUAGCGACACAUGGAGCUAGGAACAUGUAAUAUAUGAGGUAGCAAAUAAUUGAGGUCAGAUACUAAUGUGUGUUCGGUGCUAUAUAAAUUUUGAUGGCAUGGAAACCGACAACGAAGAUUUGAAAGGAAGACAUCGGUUGAAUAAGACAACAUUUAAUAGCCAUUACAAGAAAUAGGGGUUUAAUCUCAUUGAAGAAGGGCUUGAUUUGGGAAUUGUCUUCUUGAAUAGAGCUAUAAAUAGGAGGAUUUAUAUUCGGUGACGGACAUGAAACAUUCUGUAGGCAAAAGCAAAAUUCAACUCGUAUUCUAUCAAAUUGCCCUCUUUACUUGAUUCUGUAUUUUUUUAUUGUUUUUUCUAUCGGAGAAGCUAAAUUCAUAGGCAGUUUUGUAUUUUCUUUAAAUUAUUUUUUAUAAUUUUAUUUCUGUUCUUAUUUGUUCCAUAUAAAAGUCGUUCUUUCAAAUAUCUUUUGGUGAACGUUGCAGAAAAGAGCUGAAGAAAAGAAAAGUAUAAUUAAUAAUACCAACGUUACAAAACCUAGCAAAAAUUAAUAGUGCUAUGCCGUAGUAAAAUAAAGAACUUGCGGAUGGAAAUGGUGGACACUUUCAAUGGUGACAAAGCCAAAAAAAG